CAGUUGAAUGUGAUGGAGCAUC
rnacentral:piRNA from 1 species